GGUCCGCUGGCUCAAUGGCAGAGCGUCUGACUACGACAUCAAGAAGUCAUCAGGAGGUUCCAGGUUCGACCCCUGGGUGGAUCG